rnacentral:tRNA from 1 species
UCUCUGGUGGCCUAGUGGUUAAGGAUCCAGUUUUGUUACUGUUGUGGCUUAGGUCUCCACUGUGGCUCAGGUUCAAACCCUGGCCUGGGAA